rnacentral:lncRNA from 1 species
GCGCUUAAAUUUUGCUUUAAGAAGCCGCCGAGACGCGCCCUUCAUUUUGCGUUUCACGCCGCAGCCGCCUGUGUCAGCUGAACCUCUGCAUCGUACCGUAUAUGCUGUAGCAGCGAUUGUCGACCACAUCACCGACCCCGAAACAGCCAUGGGUUCCGGCGAUGGCUUCUGCUCUAUGGCGUGCUUCGAAGCUUUAAGUCGCGGCUGCACCACUUACGGCCUGGACUCCUGCAAUUGCGGUUACGAGGCUCUCUUUUGCUCCGGAAUUCUCGCACGGUCCAUUGGAGCUCUCGGAAUACGUAUGCAUGCGACGCGCGGCGGCCAUUGCAUCCCUUCUCACGCACGAGCUGUCACGCCUGACGCCAACGACGCCGUUGCUGCCAACAAGCCUGAAGACUCGCUUGUGGCGGUCUUUUCUUUUGUGCGUGUGUUCCUACGAACGAACUCUCUCUCCAUUUAACCGAGGGACAACGAGGCAACUGUUGUCGGUACGUGUUUCAACUACCUUGUGAGGGGCAGAUCGUGUAACCAAGUGACCGUGGCACUGCCCUGAGGGACAACGCAGCCACUGUCGCCGCAGCGUCGCUUCGGCAUCUAAUCGCCGAGGUGGGAGUGUUUAGCUUGCGAGGGCGGCACGGCCAUUAACUUCCUCAUCAAAACUGAUUGACAACAUUGGCAAAUUAUGUGCAGUUAACUGUAGUGCUUCAUUAGGCACGAGCUUCCUUGGACGGCCGCAGCCACAUCGGGUCGUCGCCGUGACGGAAGCGGAGAGGACGGGGUGGGGCGAUUCUAGCUGCAGGCUUAGCUAACACUAGGCAGGUAGCCGACACUGCGCAGGCCACAGCUGGCAGGAGUCCUCUCUCGUUUGCGACACGGCAAUCGGCCCGUUCCGGGUGCUAUCGCUUCCCGGCCACAAUUUCGCGUCCACGCGCGCGAAAGGGCGCGUAAUGUGGAAUCGCAGAAGUCGGUGGCAUCCGGAAUUUGUGUCAGGCUAACCAGUGGCGUAUUACUUCCAGUUCGUCUAGCUACGCUGAAGCACGGACGUUGCCUUCGGUCCGCAACGCGGCGCGUUGCGGCCAAAGUACGUGACCACUUUUUUUCUUUUCCAUUCCUUGUGCCACGCUGUUUCUGUCGCUCGACACGAGGACCAUGUUUGGCGAGUUCAUCUCCCACGGGUCGUGCGGUGACGCUUGUAAUGGUGAGUACCUACUUUCUGGUUAUAUUCCCAAUUUGAAAAGCUGUCAUUUUUUAAGUUUCAGGUACGCACCCUAGGCCUCCGCUUUCAGCGCACUCCAGCAACGUCCCUGCGUCCAGCAGUGUCCCGGACGGUUGACGUUCAGUGCCUGUCAUCUCUCGGCUGACCGCCUGUGUACUUCUCCUCCAGCCACACAGCUACUGGUUUCCUGGCCAAUGAACAAACCUGCACGACCCACCCUGCAGUACGUCGACUGCUAUUCCCCAGCCUUUGCCAUCAGUCACGUGCGACGGAUUUUCCUGCGCCCUGCCGUGUCCCAGACGGGUGACUUUCAUCGCCUGUCGUCCCGUGGCUGACGGUCUGUGCACUUCUCCUCCAGCCACACGGCUACUGGUGUCCUGGCCAACGAAGAAACCUGCACGACCCGCCGUGCAGUACGUCGACG